rnacentral:lncRNA from 1 species
AGGUACUUAGCUCUUCCUUUAUUGGGAAGAUUGAAUUGUAAUCCAAAAUCUAUUUUUAGAUUUUAAUCCCCAGGUGAUAACUAAGUAACCCAAAAUAUAUAAUCUAACCAAAGAAGGUGUGAACUAAAGAGCAGACAGUCCUGGAGCAAAGAGUCUGCUGUGAUUGGUAGACAUGAAAUUUAGGGGAGGUGACACAAGAGAAAAACAUCCUUAAAAAGAGGAUCAGAGACCUGAAGAAGGGAUUUGAUUUGAUAUUCAAUUCAAGGAGAUCAAAGAGCUUUCUGACUUGGCAUUUGAGGAGCGACCGGAAGACAGACCCCCAGACUUCUUUCCAUUUUAAAGUCACCGUUGGUCAUGGAAGAGAAAGACAGAACAAAUGCUUUCUUCUCUCUAGUAGAAAAGAAGUAAUUGAAAAAGAACAGA